rnacentral:lncRNA from 1 species
GCAUACGAACAGACCAAGAAACAGAGAGCCAAAAAUGGGAGGCCGUUCUUCGUUUUGUGGGUUAACAAUGGUGGUGGUGGUGGUGAUGUCGAUAACCAUCCUGAGUUCCAGCUACAGCUGCAGAGGUUCGAUUCUGAUGAAGGCCAACGCCACGUUGGGUAGCGUGAUGACGACCGAGUUGAUCAUCAAGCACGAUAUAACUCGGUAUCUCAUAUUCAAGGGUGCCACCGCAGUGACAGGUGCGACUGCGGACCCAAACAUCGUGACAUGUGGCAAUGGCGCCGGAAACACGUUUUCCGGCUGCGGUGGUAAUGCUAAUAAUACACAACAGUGCAAUGCAUACCAAGGACCUAACGCUUGCUUAUAAUCCCUUCAGUUCCAUAUUAAUAUGAUCACUAUGACUCUGCGCAGUUUCUAUGUCAUCGUGUAAUCCCCUGUUUUUUAUGAUCCUCUGUUCUUCUUUCUAUUUCUCUUUGAAGUGGAGUUUGUUUGUUUGAUGCUUUCAUUAACAAUGUAUUUGGUGCUUUGUUGUUUGUUUUUGUGAAAUAAGAACUAAAUCAAAUCACUUUUCUUCUUCUCUCUCUUGUUCAAUCCAUUGAUCCUCUAAGUAUUUUCGUAAUAAAGAUUAAAUUGUUACCGUCUACAAACUUAUAAUCUUUAUUGUUAUAUACGUAUGGUUAAGUUUUGAGUUUGAUUUCGAUUUGAUCUCUAAUUUUCAAAAUGUUGUAUUUUAAUAUUGAUAUUUGAAUUUUAUUUUAAUUUGGUCCAUAGAAUAUUUACAUUUGUCAUCUCAACUUUUCACUUAUUAAUAAUGUAUGUUAAUAAAUUUAGAAUAAUUAAAAGAAAUAUAAUGAACUAGAAUUCACUUUUUUCCUUCCUUUUAAAAUUAAUUUAGAAUUUUACGUCUUAAUUAUUUUAAAUUAAUUAGAAAACAUUAACGUCCAUCAUUCUAAAUGAGUAUUUAUUAAAAAAAAGAAAUAAAAAUAUAAAAUAUUAAAUUCUGAAAACCAAAUUGAAACAAAGUUCAAAUCUUAAAAUUUAAAACGUAACAUUUCACUCAAUAGAAACUAAACUUAAAAUCUAUAUAUAAAAUACUUAUUAUCUGACUGAACACCAAAUAUAAAUUAAAAGUCAAUUUUAAAUUUUUAAGAAUUUGAAAAUGAAAUAGAUUCAAACGUAAAAAUUUUAAUUUUACAAAUAUUUUAUUUUAGAAAAAAAUAUCAUUUUACAAGUAUGAAUUUUUCCAAUUCUAUCUGUAUAAACUUUAAAUUAAUAAAAUUUAUAAUCCAUUUUAAUAGUAAUUUUAUUAACCCAUUAUUUGAAAAGUAUGCACAGGAGCUAUAAUUGAAUGCAAUAUGGCAACUUUUAAAUGUAAUAUAAUCAUGAUAAAAGAUUUAGAUUAUUCACUUAUAACACUUUAGAAAUUUAAUUAAAAAGUUUAAUAUUUAAAUUAAUGAUUGGUUGUAUUAAUUGAAAACUUUAACUUUAUUUUUAUUACAUCAAAUUGCACUAAUAAAGUAGUGAAAGUUAGGAAAAGCAAAAACUAAAAAGCAAGAGGAAGUCCCCACAUUCCAUGCGACAUGUCGUAUUGAAAUAUGCUUUUAUCUCUUUUAAAAGUUGUUGUGUCGUUCGUCUCGUGGGAAUAGAAAACUAUUAGGAAUAUUUUGGAUAAAAAUCAUUAUAAUUUGGUCCAAAUCUUUUCUAAUCCACAAAAGCAACUUUAGGUUUUGUACUAAUACGAGCCAACCUUUACUAAUUUCUUUUACUAUUUGUUACGAUAGAUUUGGAUUAGAGGGAAAAUUAUCAGAUUAAGUAUUAAAACAUGGGAGUCUAGGUCGAUGUGUUCAAACUAACCUAUUAGGCCUCUUGUUCUUGGCCAAGGACGAUGGAGGCAUGCUCUGGCCUAUUUAGGUCAAAGUUAGAUCAAGAGGAAGUCUCUUCAUUUAAUGAAUGUGGGAUCAUUUGAUUGAGAAUUAACCUAAUAUGACUCGAAAUUCCUCAUAUAUAUAUGAACAACUUAGAUCAGAAUUUCACUAUAAAUACAUUGUUGUGAUGAUUUUAAGAGAAGUAAGUUCAUUUUCAUCCCUAAAAUUCUUGUUACAACCAAAAGCUACUUUUUGACUAAGGUAUUGGAGACGUGAUAAUUUUGUCCAUCAACACUCCCGAUCUUAAACUUAUAAUUACAUAGAACAUAUUGAUAAGGUAUUAAUGUCGGUCAAUAUGGUUUUACAUUGUAAAGAAAUCUAAAAUCAACAAAAUGUUUUGAUUUUUCUCUCGACGAAGAUAUUAGAUACUUAAAAAAAUUAUAUCUAUAAAUUUCAACCCUAAAUUACCAAUAAAACAUACUACACAUGUGAUUUGGUGAAAUCAAGAUUGGCAUCUUGGAUGUUCAAAAACUAAUAUAAAACAAAUUAAGAAAAGUUACCUAUUCAUUUAUAUUUGUUUGUUCUAAAAUAAAUUGAAUUGUUUUUCUAAACUUAACUUUUACACAGAAAACAAUUUUCGUCGAUGAUUAAACAAGAUCUCGAGAAUGAAAAUGAAAUCUACGAUACUUAAAUUCCUACCAACCAAAAAUCCUUUAAAUUAGUAAUGGAAGAAUGAAAUAUGAUCCUCUCAAUUAUUUAAUUAUAUUGACCUUUAUAAAUCACAUUUUUCAUGGCAACAUAUAAUUAUUGAUUCACUUUAGAUACAAUAAUAGUGAAGUUCUUAUUUGUGGAAUGGUAUGAUUGGUCAUAAGGCUAACUUUAAACUUUAACUUUAAUACCAAAAAGUUUCUCUCUCAAGUCUUGGUCUAUUAAAUAUUAUAAAGUAAAAGGACUCAAUUACAAAGUGAUUGCAAUAAGAGAAAAGAUAAAGGGUUUUAAAGCAUAAAAUAAAAAAGACAAGGAAAGAAAAUGGUUUCUUCACUGUAAAUAUUAUCAUUGUUGUCUUCAAUCAUUUGGUCUAUUUCUUCCCCUUCAAUAAUUCAAUACCCAAAUCAAUUACACAAUGUUUUCUAUUCUUAUUUAAUUUCUAACCUACCUUAAACCCGUUUACGCGUUAUAAAAAAUCACUUAAAUGAACUAAAAUUGUACCUAAAUGUUAGUGUGAUUUUGAGGAGAGACCUCGCAACAUGUAUAUAAAGUAUGUAGGUUAAUAUCUCGUAUUUCCAUUGUUCACAAUGUCUAUGAGAUACGUAGACCUUAUGUUGCAUAUGCUUUAAGAAAUUCUUUUCUCUAAAGAUUCAUUUAUUCUCGUAAUGUUUUAGUACAUACUCUUGGAAUUUCAGACAAACAUUUAAUAUAUUGAUUUGUUUUACAAAAUUUUACUUUUUAAAACUUUAAUAUUGUUAUCGAAAGAAACUUUAAAAUCUACCUAACAUGUUAGGAUUAUUUUAUAAAUUAAAAUAAAUUAUUUGUUAACAUUCUAAUUAUUUUUAAAAAAAUAGUAAAAGAUAGGAAAAUUUUCAAAAAUAAUAUAUUUGAGAAAAUAUUUAAUAUUUAGGAUUGAUAUCUUUAUUUCCACAUUAAGAAAAGUUUUAGAUAUUGUAUGAUGGAGUGUAUGUUCAUACAUAAAUAAAAAUUUGUAUAUUUUUAAUCUUUUAUAAAGGAAUGUGUUUUAUCUUUUUUUCUUUUCAAACUUUCCUUUCUAAAAAAGUAUAAGCAUUAAGUAUUAACACUUUUUCUCAAUUCAAAACUCUCCAUUUCAAUCCGCAUAACCAAAAAAGAUUCUUCAAUUCUUUGUCAUGAAAAUCCUUACUCCCUUCUUCGUCUUCUUCUUCCUUCUUCUUCUUCUUCUUCUUCUUCCUCCCUCCACUUCUCAAACUUCUUAUUACGUCCCUGUCGAUAACAUAGCCGUCAAUUGCGGUACCAAAGCCAUCACUGACACCGGCGAUCGAAAAUGGAUCGGCGACGUCGCUACUAAUUACUCCCCAUCCGAACCACCAAACACAGUCAACAAGUCCACCUUCAAGUCCAUUAUCUCAAACACCAUCAGCGACGAGAUCUACAGAACUGUACGCCUCUCUCGCUCUCCCUUCACCUACUCUUUCCCGGUCACUGCCGGCCCCAAAUUCAUCCGUCUCUACUUCUACCCGGAAAAAUACGAAGAAUUUAAUAGAUCCGAUGCCUUCUUCACUGUUCAAGCUGCCCAGUUCACUCUCCUUAAAAACUUCAGCGCUGCCCUCGUCGCUGAUUUCAUCAAUAAAAGCGUCAUCCCAAGAGAAUUUUGUAUCCAUAUCGCCGGAGAAGCACCAAAGUUGAACAUUACCUUCACCCCAUCUCCGAAUUCUUAUGCCUUCGUCAACGGAAUUGAAGUGGUCUCUAUGCCGGAAAACCUCUACUACUCUCCUGCGGAGCAGGGAACGACGACGCCGAUUAUUGGAAACAACAUCGCCCUUGAGCUUUAUCAUCGAAAAAAUCUUGGCGGUGACGACAUCUUUCCGAGUCAAGAUUCCGGCAUGUACCGAAAUUGGGAUGGGACUAAUCUACAUAUAACAACCAAACGAGUUAUCCCAAUACAUAAUGACUCUGUUUCUAUAAACUACACAACGAGCACUCCUAACUUCACAGCCACAGAUUCAGUUUAUCAGUCUGCUCUAAUUCUGGGUGUGAAUCGAACUCUCAAUUCUAAACAAAAUUUAUCGUUUCAAUUGCCCGUUGAUGUCGGGUUCAAUUAUUUGGUACGACUCCAUUUUUGCCAAAUUCUUAUGGAUCAGUUUCAAGGAAAACAGAAGAUUUUCACAGUGUUCAUCAAUAACCAAAAUAUCACCACUGUCGAUAUAGAUUCCAUCAAUACUCCUUUAUACAGAGAUUAUAAUGCACGGCCAAUGGCGGUUGGGAAUACUUCCGCUAUCUUAGUUGAUUUACACCCCUUACCAAGUGAGACCUUCGAUGUGAUUUUGAAUGGAUAUGAAGUGUUCAAACAAAGCAAUGGAACUAAUCUUGCAGUACCAAACCCAGUGGUCGCUCUAGCACCAGAAAUUAAACGGGGAGCCAAAAAUUCAAAUGCAACAGCGAUCAUCGCUGCUGUGUGCAGUAGCGUGGGAUUUGCCAUAUUAUCUUCAAUCGUUGGAUUUGUGGUUAUAUGGAAACAGAGUAAGAAGAUGAGGAAGAGAAGGAAGAAGAAGAAGAAAACAAGAGAGGAUAAGUUGCUGCCGGAACGACGGUGCCGGAUUUUCACCUUCGAAGAGAUUUGUGAAGCGACAGAUUACUUUAGCAAAGAGAGACAGAUAGGAGUCGGAGGAUUUGGUGCGGUUUACAAAGGAAUUUUCGAGGAUGAAGACGAUCUCACCGUCGCAAUCAAACGGUUGAACCCAGAAUCCAACCAAGGCGAACAAGAAUUCGUAACAGAGAUUGAAUUGUUAUCGGAGCUCCGUCACUUCAACCUUGUAUCUCUCAUCGGAUAUUGCUUGGAAAACAAGGAAAUGUUGCUAGUUUACGAAUAUAUGCCAAACGGAACAUUCAAAGAUCAUCUCUACGACACCUCGAAUUCUCUUCUAUCAUGGAGGAAGCGCCUAGAAAUCUGCGUUGGGGCAGCACGUGGUUUAGACUACCUACACUCCGGAUUCGAUCGACCCAUCAUCCACCGCGACGUGAAGACUACGAAUAUCCUUCUAGACGAAAAUUGGGUUGCAAGAGUUUCCGAUUUCGGGAUGUCGAAAUUGGGGCAAACCAACACGGCAGUCAGCACGGCAGUGAAAGGAACUUGGGGCUAUUUAGACCCGGAAUAUCAUCGACGUCUGAAAGUGACAGAAAAAUCCGACGUAUUCUCAUUUGGGGUCAUCUUGUUCGAAGUGCUGUGUGGGAGAAAACCAUUGGACCCGCUUGCCGGUGAAGAGAAGUUCAAGCUUACGCUAUGGGCUAAGAAAUGCUUGGAGAAAGGGAAUGCUUAUGAAAUUAUCGAUCCGCAUUUAAAAGGGAAGAUUUCAUGUGAUUGUUUAAAGCAAUACUUGGAAUUGGCGACAACGUGUAUCAACGAUCAUUCAAAGCAUCGGCCGAGAAUGGAGGUGGUGGAGGAGAAAUUAAGGUUCAUCUUGAAGCUGCAAGAGGAAGCAGAUGGGGAUUGUCCGGACACGGAAUUGAGUUAUCCAGAGGAGCCAUUUUCGCCGAUAAGGUCAUCAGGAGGUUCUCUACGGACUGAGUCGUAUAAAAGCCACAUCGCCACCAUGCUCAGCGGCUCCGAUUUCACGGUAUCGUCGCUUAUGAGUGAAGAAAUGUUAAGUGAACAGAGCUCCGGUUCUAUGGCGUAUUCUCGGAAGACAUAAUUUAUUUCUUAAAAAAAAAAUCCUUUUUGUUCUUCUUUUUCUUUUUAUAAUUUUAUUUAAAAUACCGUUUUAGCGGUUAGGUUUUGAAAAUAACGUUAUAGUUUGGAGUUGGUUUAGUUCUUAAAGCACUUAUGCUUUGAACUAAAAGUAAUGAAUAUAUAUAAACUAGUCUCUGUAAAUUUUACAAACGUAAUGUAUGUUUGUUGUGGAUUUUAUUUAAUUUUGAUUGCCAUACAUAUGACUUGAUUAAUAAAUUAAAUAUAUAUAUGAUUGUUAAAACAAUUGGUUGAAAGGGUAAUCUAAUAGUGAAGUUUUUAUCCGUGGAAUGGUAGGAUUGGACAUACAUCGUCUACCUAAUUAGGCCUUAUUCUUUUAACUUUAACUUUACUACCAAGAAGUCCCACAUACAAUUCUUGGUCUAUUAAAUUUUUAAAAGUAAAAGGGUCGGACUCUAUUGGCUUAUUAAGAGAAAACACAAAAGGGUUUUAAAGCAUAAAAAAGAAAGAGAAAAGGGAAAGAAAAUGGUUUCUUCACUCUAAAUAUUAUCAUUGUUGUCCUCAAUCAUUUGAUCCACUUCUUCCCCUUCAAUAAUUCAAUACCCAAAUCAAUUACAUAUGCUUUCUAUUCUUAACUAUAUUCUCACCUACCUAACCCUAAAACAAAAAUGUGCUAUCCAAACUAAUAAAAUGGUUAAACACUAAGAAAACUUUUAAAUAUUAUAUGUUAGUGUAUGUUCAUGAAGAAAUAAAAGUUUGAAUCUUAUUAAUUUUUUUAAGAAAAGAAUGUGUUUUAUCUUUUUUUUUUCUUUUCAAACUUUCCUUUACUUUUUAAAAGUAUAUAUUCAUUUCAAAACUCUCUAUUUCAAUCUGCAUAAGAAACAAAACAUUAUUUUUUCUUUAAAAAGAAUCUUCAAUUGUUUGCCAUGAAAAUCCUUACUCCCUUCUUCCUCUUCUUCUUCCUUCUUCUUCUUCUUACUCCCUCCACUGCUUAUCAAAGUUCUUAUUACAUCCCAGUCGAUAACAUCGCCGUCGACUGCGGCGGCAUCUCUGCCUUCACUGACACCGGCGAUCGAAAAUGGACCGGCGACGUCGCUACUAAUUUCUCCCCAUCUGAACCACCAAACACAGUCAACAAGUCAAUGGUAAAGUCCAGUAAUUCAAACACCAACAACGACCCUCUCUACAAAACGGUACGCCUCUCUCGCUCUCCCUUCACCUACUCUUUCCCGGUCACUCCCGGCCCCAAAUUCAUCCGUCUUUACUUCCUGCCGGAAAAUUUCGACGAAUUUCAUAGAUUCGACGCCUUCUUCACUGUUCAAGCUGCUCAGUUCACUCUCCUUAAAAACUUCAGAGCCUCACUUGUCGCUGAUUUCUCCAAUAAAAGCUUCAUCGCAAGAGAAUUUUGUAUUCAUGUCCCGGGACAAGCAUCAAAAUUGAACAUUACCUUCACCCCAUCUCUGGAUUCUUAUGCCUUCGUCAACGGAAUUGAAGUGGUCUCCAUGCCGGAAAACCUCUACUACUCUCCUGUGAAACAAGGAAGGACGACGCCGGUUAUUGGAAACAAUAUCGCCCUCGAGCUUUAUCAUCGGAAAAAUCUCGGCGGUGAAGACGUCCUUCCGAGUCAAGAUUCCGGCAUGUACCGAAAUUGGGAUGGGAGUAACCUAUAUAUAACCACCAAACAAGUUAUCCCAAUACAAAAUGACUCUGUUUCUAUAAACUACACAACGACCACUCCAAACUUCACAGCUACAGAUUCAGUUUACCAGUCCGCUAUAAUUUUGGGUACGAAUCGAACUCUCAAUUCUAAACAAAAUUUUUCGUUGAAAUUGCCCGUUGAUUUCGGGUUCAAUUAUUUGGUACGACUCCAUUUUUGCCAAAUUCAUAUGGAUCGGUUCCAAGAAAAAGAGAGAAUUUUCACUGUGUUCAUCAAUAACCGAAAUAUAGCCGUUGUCGAUAUAGAUUCCGUCAAUACUCCUUUUUACAAAGAUUAUAAUGUACCAAUGGCGACUGGGAAUACUCCAUUUAUCUUACUGGAUUUACACCCCUUACCAAGUGAGAGCUUCGAUGUGAUUUUGAAUGGAUAUGAAGUGUUCAAACAGAGCAAUGGAACUAAUCUUGCUGUACCAAACCCAGUGGUCGCUCUAGCACCGGAAGUUAAACGGGUAGCCAAAAAUUCAAAUGCAACAGCGAUCAUCGCUGGCGUGUGCAGUAGCAUGGGAUUUGCCAUAUUGGUUUCAAUCGUUGGAUUUGUGGUUAUAUGGAAACAGAGUAAGAAGAAAACGAAGAAAAGGAAGAAGAAGAAGAAAACAAGAGAGGAUAAUUGGCUACCGGAACGACGGUGCCGAAUUUUCACCUUUAAAGAGAUUUGUAAAGCGACAGAUAACUUCAGUAAAGAGAGAGAGAUAAAAGUUCACAGAGGAUUAAGUGUCAUUUACAAAGGAAUUUUCGAGGAUGAAGGCGAUCUCACUGUCGCAAUCAAACGGUUGAAAGACCUCCCGGAAUCGAACGUAGGGGAACAAGAAUUCGUAAGAGAGAUUGAAGUGUUAUCAGAGAUUCGUCACUUGAACCUUGUAUCUCUCAUUGGAUAUUGCUUGGAAAACCAGGAAAUGUUUAUAGUUUACGAAUUUAUGGUAAACGGAACAUUCAGAGAUCAUCUCUACGGUACAUCAAAUUUUCUUCUGCCAUGGAGGAAGCGCCUAGAAGUCUGCAUUGGAGCGGCGUGUGGUUUAAACUACCUACACACUGGAUUCGAGCGACCCAUCAUCCACCGGGACGUCAAUACAACAAAUAUCCUUUUAGACGAAAAUUGGGUUGCAAGAGUUUCUGAUUUAGGGAUGUCGAAAUUGGGGAAAACUAACAUGGCAGUCAGCGCGGUGGUGAAAGGAACUUAUGGUUAUAUAGACCCGGAAUAUUUCAAUAAUAAGACAGUGACAGAAAAAUCUGACGUAUACUCAUUUGGGGUCAUCUUGUUGGAAGUGAUCUGUGGGAGAAAACCAUUGGAACGGCUUGCUGGUGGGGAGUGGUUCGGCCUUGUGGUAUGGGUUUUGGAAUGCUUGGAGAAUGGGAAUGUUUAUGAAAUUAUGGAUCCGAAUUUAAAAGGGAAGAUUACAUAUGAUUGUUUUAAGCAAUACUUGGAAUUGGCGAUAACAUGUAUCAACCAACAUUCAAAGCAUCGACCGAGAAUGAAGGAGGUGGAGGAGAAAUUAAGGUUGAUCUUGAAGCUGCAAGAGGAAGCAGAAGCAGAAGCAGAAGCAGAAGGGGAUAUUUCCAACGGUGAUUAGAGUUAUCCAUAGGAGCCAUUUUGGCUGAUAAAGGCAGUAGGGCAUUUCCUUUUUACAAAACACAAAAACUGCUAUUUACAUUUGUAAUGGACUUGUGUUUAUUCGCUUAUGACUGAAGAAAUGCUAAGUGAACAAAACAUUCGGAUAUGCUAUGUGGCCUAUUUGAUCAGAAGACAUAAUUUGUUUUUCAAAAGUUCCUUUUUAUAAUUUUCUUUAGCCAUUAGGUUUUGGAAAUAAGGUUAUAGUUUGGAGAUGGUGUAGCUAUUAAAUCACUUAGUGCUUUAAAGAAAAAGUAAUGAAUGUAAAUUAGGUUUUGUAAAAUUUCAACUUUUUCCCUAACUUAGAUCACUUUAACUAAAAUUUUAAUUUAAAAUGUCAAAUUCUCAGCUCCUACUUAAAACCUAACAUGUGUAAAAUUAAUAUUUAUCUUAAAUCCUUAAUCUUACACGUUAACGCCUUUCAAAUAUCAGAUUUGAUAUUUUUUCGUCAAACCUUUCUUCUCGCCUAAUUCCAUUUGGCAAAUAGCUUUAACUCCUUAACAUAACUUCCAAAUGUCUCUUAACGCGUAACUCUUCUCGCGGACUACCCAACUUUAUCGCGAAGACUCUUUCUCAGUUAAACACCUAGACUUCAUAGAUCUUAUCGCAAAUCCUUAUUUUCUCAAAGUUUCCUUGCAAACUAACCUCUUAAUCACGUAGACUGACCAAAAUGCUCUUGUCUAAAUCGGAAAAAUUGAAUACCUGAGCAAAUUUUACUUCUUAUACUCAAAUUAGAAGCACGUCUCACAAACCGAUAGCACAUUUUUCAUAUUGAAAACUAUCACUUAUAGAAAAACUACUAAUAACAGCUAUUUAUGAUAACGAUUGAUUGCACAUUUCUCAAAUUUAAAGUUAUCAUAGAUAGUAGUUGUCGAUCAUAUAUAUAAUUCAAAUAAAAGUCAUUCUUAAAGCAACUGAUAACAAUUAUCAAUUAUCAAUUUUAUGCUACAUACCAAAAUUAUUUUAUCCUUGUCUUAAAAGUUAUUUAUGCAACAAAUCCUUGCAGUACUUAAGUCUCAAACUAAUAAUACUUCCUUCAUUGAUUUGAUUCCCUUCUUAUUACAAAUUUUAUUGUUUUGCAUCAACUGUUUGACGUUAUUUAGCUUAAAAGAAAAACUACUCUCUACAUUUGUAUAGACUAUAUCUAGAAAAACAAAAAUAACGAAACCAUCGCUUGGACUAAUGACUUAAAUGUUUCAACAAGAUUACACUCUACCAUAAUUGAGUAUGUGUUAAUACAUAUACAUUGUUUCAAUUUAAUACAUGAAAUUGAGACGUGUGGAUCAUAAUUAAAUUUAUGGAGAUGAAAACUCUGUCAAUCGUGUUUGUAAUUCAAGUUACUCUAUUUAUCAUAACGAAUUGUUAAAACAUUAUUGGUUGAAUUUUACCGUGGGAUAUGUUAUGGUUUGUAUAUAAGCUGUGUUUAAAGUUGGUUAUACAAAGAUUAGUAUCAACAUUAACUUUAACCUUUUCUUUAAUUAUUAAAAAUAUUUAAUGGCAACUUUUGAAGGUUAAAAAAAGAGAAUAUUUUAACCUUCAAAGUUAUUAACCAUUUUAUUAAAGUUUUAGAGUAUUAUUUGAUUUGCUCUUUUUAAGUCAAAAUUGAUGGGAUCAUACAAAAGAAGAAAACAAAACCCUAACUUUACUUUACUUUCACAUUAUUUUCUUUCAUCUUCUUCCUUCCAACUCCGUUGCUCCCCAAUAUUUGAACUGCUGCUUUUGCCAACAAUCGAAGGACAGACUAGCGAAGAAUUGGGUUGCCGGAGUUUCACAACACCGACGCAAAGCUCUAGACUCUCAUAAUGAGCAACAAGCAGGGCCCUCCCAAGCACCAGAACAAAUACGCUUGGAAACCCAACGCCGGCCGCAAAAUCAACGAAACGGUAAUCUAAUUUCACCACCUUUUUUUUCUCUUCUUUUCUGUUAUCUAAAUGUUAACCUCCUUCGCUUUUACUAUGACAUUUUUAGUACAGGAGGUUGGAGGUAGGUUCCGCCCCUUAUCUGACAUCACCGGAGUUUGUCUCCGUUGUAAGGACCAAAUUGAUUGGAAACGCCGUUACGGAAAGUACAAACCUCUUUCUGAACCUACUAAAUGGUAUACAUACUUUUUCUUUUUUCUUCCAUUUUUUCGUUAUUUGUUUCUUUUUCUGAGGUUGGAUUGGUAAAUUUGUGUUGAAUGUAUUGCAGUCAAUUGUGUUCAAAGCGGAAUGUUCGUCAAGCGUAUCACAAUCUCUGCCCCGGUUAGUUUAAAUUAUCAGUAGCUUUCUUGUUUAUGUGAAUUUAUUUUUGUUGUUCUGAAGAAAUAAAUUUCUAGGGGAAAAUGUGUCAUUAUGAACGAAGUUCAGCAGUAAGAGCUAAGAGUGACUUUAAUGUUUAUAUAGGUUGUGCCAAGGAGCAAGGUGUAUGUGCAAAAUGUCGUUGUCGUGUAGAUCAAACUGUUGGAAGGUGUGUUUUAUGAAUUGCUGAAGAUUAAUGUGUGAAUUUUGUGGACUAAGAAUGAAUAUCUAGUGUUACAAAAACUGUUUUUUAAAUUCUAAGGCCUUUCCAUCUGUCUUUUCUAGGGAUUUGUCUGAAGUGGAAGCUGAGCAAAAGAUGCUUCAAGAGGUAUGAUUUUCCCCUCAUGUUAUGGUGAUAAAUUUUCAAAUGUAGCUCACAGGUUUGGUGAUUGCUGCAGGCAAUAAAGAAUGCUCGAGAAAGGGAUCGUAGAACUCUGUUACGUGCUGUAAGCUUCUGUUUUUUGUUAUUGUUUAUUUUAUUUAUUUACUUAUUAUUUUGUUUAUUUGCAUAUUGAAUGAAACUACGAAAGAUAUUUGGUGAAUAAAAUAGAAUUUUGGAAGUUAUAGAGUGUUUGUCUAGCACUUGAGAAUUGAGAGCAUUUUGUUCACUUUUGUGCCUCAAUUGUUUUCUGUUUGGGGAAGCCUUUUUUCAACACUCCCUACACCUAGUGCUGUUUUUAAUGGCUUAAUGCAAGGUCUCAAUGUAAAGAGCAACACGUAUUUUCCAUUUCAAGAGUUAGUCAUAUUUUGUAAAUCAGGUUAACCUUAGAAGUUGGACGAGUUGUGCUGGUUGUAAAUAAGCCAAGAAGUAAUUACAAAGGCUCUAUGUUGAGCACUCCCACUAGAGGUUGUAAGCAGGAAAAGUUUACCAAAAGAUUAAAGAGAAUUGUUAAGGAAAAUCCUCAAGUUUCUUUCUAGCACAUAACACACAUUAGGGCAACAGCAAAUGUAGGGAAUCUUCUUUGAACCAAACCCAUUGUAUUGAUAUUAUUCAACGCCACAGUCCACAAAAAGAAUUUCACACUUGGAGAGAAGACAAACCCAAAUCUGUAAACAAAGGUCUUCAUCAAUCCCUAUUUUUUUCCCCUCCUGAAGAACUACUUCCAUAGCUGAUUUGAUAGAAAAUACUCCAGAUUCCAGAACUAUCCACCUUCCAGACCAGCAUGUUGGCCCUUUGGGAAGGAAAAUUUUUUUUUGAACAUGGAAGCUAGUUGAGCUCAUUGGAAUGCUUUUAUCUACCCCCAGCCCCAGCCCUUUGAAUGUUUUGUUCUCUUUUGAAAUAUAUUCCUUCGCUUCCUAUAAAAAAAGUUAUUUAAUCUAAAUUCUGUGAUGGUUUCUCUUGAAGUGUUGAGCUCUAUGACAUCUAGUCAUAGUAAUUUUGUGUUGCAUUGUAACAGUAAGAAUUGAAUUUAUAGUAAUUCGAUGGACCUCUAGCCCUCUAGGAACCUUUGAAAAGAAAUCUCAAAAUGUUUCCCCACUUCUUGUUUGUUAUGUAUGCUGGUAGUAGUGGCAGGAAGGAUCCUCAGCUUUUCAAUAGUUCUAUCGAAUUGUUAAUCUUAAACUAAUAUUCUUCAUACUCACAAAGAAUCUUUUUCCUCCGUUAUUUUGUUGAGGGCCAUGUCUCAUUUCAUUUUGGGAUCUGUGAGCCAUUUUCAAUGUAGUUACAUCAUGGACUUUCAUGGGGUAGCCAUAACAGGAUCUUUUGUAAUUUUUCCAUUCAUUCAGUUAGAUUGGAAGGGCUUUUUUUCUUUUUUUUUCUUUUUUUUUUUUGGUUUUGUUUCUGUAAGUUUGCAGGGAAGCGACUUCUUUUAGAAUGAAAUGUUUUUUUUGUUCUUAUAUAACAAAAAAGGAAUUUUUUGGUCGGUUUUUUUUUCUCUUUUCUCUCUUUUUUCUCACUCAUCUUCAUAUAAUUCAAGAUGCAAGCUGGUUUUUUCACUCAUCUUAGUAAAAACUGGUUUUUUAUUUUAUUAUUAUUUUUUCGUUUCGAUUCUCUGGUUGAUUCAUAUAAUUUGUUUAAUUGAAACAGAUGGAGAAAGGAAAAGCUAAGAGUUCAAAUAAAAACAAAUCAGCAGUUGAAGAAGAAACGAAGGAUGGAGAUUCAAUUCAUUCACCAACUGAAGUGCAAGCUGAAAUAGGUCGAAAUGAGGAUGAUAAUGAAAGUACAGACGACACGGAUGGAGAUAACUACGAAAAUGAAGAUGAACAUGAAUGUGAAAAUGAGAAAGAUGAAGAUGGGAAAGAGUAGUAAAUUAAAAUCAAUCUUUAUGGCCAUAGAAGUUUGUAGAAUCCUAUUUCUUUGUAUGAGGUUAAAUUUUGAUUGAGUUCUUCAUGUGCUUUGGUUCUCUAGGAGUGAAAUCAACUAUUGUGAUAUAAAAUUUUGGUUAAAAUACCUUUUUGAUUCUUAUAUUUAUGAAACAUUCUUCUUUUUUUCUUUUUUUUUGAAGAUGAGAAGAUCACACUUUGUUUUCUAUCUUGGUUGGUCUAGGGCUCUUCCAAAGAGGACAUGAAAGUUGAUUAUAAUGUUAUCCAUCGACCCCUCCUUCAAAUCUAAGAAACUUAUCUGAUUUACCACUGUCGGUGUAGUUUUGUAGAAAAUUUGAGAAAGAAAGAAAUGCUAGGUCUUUUCCAUGGCAAAGAUAGAUCCUCCAAAGAAGUUUUAGAGAUUUCAAUUUUUCAUGCUCUUAUAUUUGUCUAAAAUGUACUAUCGGUUGUAAAUUGAAAACAUCGUUCAUUCAAUCAAUGAAACAGUUUCUUACAAAGAAAAGCACAAUCCUACAUAAAUUUCUACCAUUUUUUUAACAUUGCUUAGAAAAACUUAGAUUUUAGUAGUUUUUUGUGUUGGUUGGUUAAACUUGUGUCUUCCCUAGAUCUGAUUCAUUUUUAGCUCAUCUAUUUUAGACAAAAGUAACAAAAAAGUGGCUUAGCACAAGCUCAACUAGCAUGUGCUGAGGACCUUUUGAUACGUGGUUCAUCAAACCCCCUAACCCCAUUUCUAACAGAAAAAAAACAAACUCAAAGACCAAAAUAUUAAAUUUCAAAAGCCUUGUAAGUGUACUGAAAUGAUUGAUCAAGAAUAAUAUUUGUUAGUUCAAAUACAACGUGAGAAUACUAAGCUUACAUUCUCUUUUUUGAUGAACUGAGUUUAUUGUGAUGAAAUAUACUAAAAUAUGUCUAAAAAAUUCAGGGGCUAUUCGAAAUCAACUCCCUAAAAAUGAAUGUGGUUUUCAGAUGGAAUGAAAUUCUGCUCUGUAGUCAAUACACAAAUGCUUCAACAGCAAUAACCUAUCUUCAAGUGAAUUCUAGCCUUGUUUUGAGGACAAAAAGAGUUGACAAGUUGCUUCCGCUCUAAAAUCUUUGAUGAGGUCAAGUCUGUUCAUCUUUUGCACACAACCGCUCUAAAUUUUGAACAACAACAUCGCAUGAGAAGGGGAAACUAUUCACAAAUAUAACAGAGAUUAAAGUAAAAUGGUGUGUAGAUUUAAGAAAAUUACAUCCUAAUAACUGCAAAAAGUAACGAGUGAGAGAUUUGAAACUAUGCGUUUAAAGUUCAAAAGAAAAUUUUUGAUAUACGUGCAAUAAGUAGGAGGUUUGGCUCAAGGAUUUAUGUGCUUCUCACAACUAAAAAAACAUAAAUUUCAUGGCUUACUAAGUUCUUACACGGUGGAUCUCACAAAGUUAACAAUUCUAGAUUUUUUAACUAUUUGUUCCCAAUGUCUUCUAAAAAGUUCCCAAUAAUUCAUAUUCGCAAUAAGGAUUCCCAUAAAAGAUGAAUAUUUUCUGCUUUGAAGAUGUUGACAUCAACAUAAAAAAUGGUCUAUAAUUGAACGUAGAUAUGUGUAGAUAUGUGCGUAUGCAUGUGUUCAAUUGUAUCAUUAAUAAAGUGCAGGCUAAAGAAGUCUUACUCAAGUACUCGUAGGCCAAUAUCAUCGAUGUUCCCCAGGCAGACAUGCUGAAGAACCGAGGACCAAGCCCCCUAUAAAAACCUUUCCACCCAUCCUCAGCGAUUAAGCUUUCAACAAUUUGUCUAGCUGUCUUCCCUUUAUCGCCCAUCACCUAUGAACAAACACAACUCAUCAAAACAUAGAACUCAUCAACAGAACCUGAGUCAGAAAGUCAUGACUCGUCACAUGGAUGAAAUUAAGGUAGUACUAUGAUGAGAUACUACCUUUCCAUAAUGAUUUAAAAAAUCUCAAAAAGACAAAAAAGGUUUCAGAAAUUCGAAUUUGUGGUUAUUUGAUGUUCUAUUUAUAAAAAAAAAAAUAUGUGAGUGAUCAAGCACUUAUGUGCAUUUUGACUACAAAUCUAAAAAUACUUGGUAGUCAAGAAACUCAGAUAUCUAUCAGCCUUCACAAGAUCAUAUAUUGAAAAUUUGGGAGGUUGUUGCAUCUAAAAUUGCCUCACCCCAAGGGGCCUUUGCCUUUAUCAAAGCAAAAUAGUCUUGGGGUUGAGCAAGCAAGGCCCAAGCUAGAUACUGACAUUUGGAACCUUGCACGAGAGUUUCAAGUUUUAGCCUGAUUACAUGUACAACACCAACCAGUGAAGGCAAUGCUUUCCCAAACUUCAGUACAACAAUUAGUAUAAAAAACAGAUUACCAUGGCAAAUCACAAUGAUCAACAAACCCACCAAUCCUCUUAUUUUAAAUAUCGCUGCUCCAAUGAGACUGUUGCAGAAUGAACGAAGCAGGUGGGUGCCAUCUACAAUUUGCAUUUUAGAUAGUCAAAUAAUAGUGGGGACUUGACCUUCCUAGACUAAUGAAUUACUCAGGAAACUUUACGAAGUAUAGAAGGGCUGGUUUGGAUUUUCUUCAGAGCCACUAAAUAAAGUGUUAGACAAGGUGACUUGUCUCUUCCCCCUUUCCUGUUGUAGGCUGGGUUGAUAUCCCAAGAAGUCGUUUGGAGAAAAAUAUGAACCCCAAUACCUGAUCUUUUAGGUUCGGGGAUAGGAACCAUUCUAUUAAUUUUCCCAUUUAAAGAACAGUCUCUUUUUCCUGUUUUUAUUUAAGGACGGCCAUUUCCAAUUCGGUCAGUGGUAAACCUUAUAGGGGUUUUAGCAAGUAGAGCGAGGAGUUCUAAGUUGGACAAGUAGUUUUAGUGGCAAACUGGCAGUGCCAAAUGAUCAAAGAGUUCAAGGGCGGCAACUUCAGAACAAGGAGAGGUUAGUUACAUUGGUGAAAAAAGAGGCUUCUAUGCCUUGGAACUCUUGAGAAAGAUUGUUUCAAAAUCCAACCCUUAUCCUCAAGACUGGUGCUCUUGGGACUACCAACCUCAAGAAGGAAUUACAAAGCUUUUUGAUGAAAAAAGUAAAGAUUUUUCACAUGAAACUGGAGAGUUGUGAAAUUUUUUUUUGAAAGAAAGUUUGGGGUGGAGAAAAGGUUUUCAAACAAGAGUAAUUUUGGUAAAUACAGAGGCCUGCUUGUAAACUAAGAACAACACAUGCCACCAAGAAACCCCCGAAAUUAGACCCACUCAGGUUUUUAAGCAAAGAAAACAUUCAGGGAAAAAAAAAACUUGGGAGUACUCUGAUAACCCCCCUCAGUGAAAGGGUGUACUCGUAAGCACAAGAAGGGAUGAAGAGAGGAAGCUGUAAAUGUGGGAUAUGGGAAUAUUGUUAGUUGGGGUGUGGGUGUGGGGGGGAGGGGAGGUAUCUUUUUGGCAGUUAAUCUUGUAUUGGUCUUUGAGGAGAAUUGGGGGAUAUAGGGAAGCUCUUGAAUUUAUGCCUCCGUUGUUGAUAAUAGAUAAAUAAAAUUGAGACUAAGACCUAUUAUAAAGACCCAAAAGGAAGGUACUGAAAUAUGUUGAACUCCACAUCUCAAUCCCAAAGACCCUCCAAAGUCCAAACAGUAAGAAAAUACGGCCUAUCAAAGAAUUCCUCAUUUAUCACGAAAAGAAAAAUGCAAAAGCACCUUCUCCAACUGAAAAGUCUUAAUCAAACCCAUACCCACGCUUCCAGUUCCAGGGAGUGUCCAAGAUAGCUUUCUAACAUUUUGUUCGGCAAAUAAAAAAACCUUAGACCAACAUGGCAUUAUUGAUAAAAAUUUCAGACAGUAAACAGAGGCUCUCAUAAGGUCUAGCCUUUCGAGUCGACAAGUAGAGCUUUAAAUAAUGUAACAAACAUUUGCAGAAUUGUCAAUUAUGGUUUGAUAACACAGCUUCUAUGACAGUAGAAACGGAAAAUAAUAUUUGGUAUCAAAUAAAAGCUAAUAACAAAUGUACAAUGAGUCAGUGAGAAGACUGGUUUGAUGUCAACUGGGGUGGCCUAGUAAGUACCUGUAAGCGAGUCUUUAUAGUGUCCAAUGGUGUUGUAAUGCAGGAAGCUGUUGCACCUGCAAUUAUUCCACCCGCAGCUUGAACUGAAAUAAGUUGGGAAUGGCUGGGAGAAAAUUUCUCUGAAGCAGAGUUUUGACCUAAGAACCUUCAAUGCCACAAAACAAAUAUAACAAUUCCAACGUCAAAAAAGAGAAACCAAUUUAAACAGAAGAAACCACCGCAACCGCAUCAUGUAUUUGUGCAAAUAACAACUGUCCAGUUGGACCCUCUGAAAUUCCAUAUUAUAUCUUUUUGCCAGUAUAGCUAUGCUCGCACUCAUAUAUAAAGCUCAACAAAUCCCUACAUGGAUGCCCUUUACAGUGCCUAAACUCCCAGAAGGCGAAUUAUUCGAAACACAGUAAUCAAGAAGAGACUAGAACCAAGGUAUAUAGUAAAGGACAAAGUAAUUAACAAUAAAUAAUAUAGCAGUAUCUAUUUAGAAUGUACCUCGUUGACAUAAACAUUACUAUUUACCAUCAAGAGACUAAUAAUUUCUUUCAUUCAUUGUUUCUUGUCCAAACAAAAAAUAAAUAAAUAAAGUAAAAAAUAAAAGAAUUUCAUUCAGGACCAAAGAAAGUGAAGAUGAAAAUUCUAACCAUUACCAGUCCUUAUGCAAUGACCCAAACUCAACACUUCAACACAAUGAAGGGAAAUUACCACGUCUCACCUCCAGAUGACGCGUUGACUUGCACCAUAACUUGCCCACCAUACAGCACUAGAUGGAGAGUAGGUCAUAACAGAUAACCCAAAACCUUUAUACAGUCCCCGAAUCCCAUUAGACUUUAUCAGUUUACGAGCAACAUCUAAACCCCCAGUAUAUCUUGUAUUUCCGGAGUAUCCUUGAACCAUUAGCUUUUGACUAAUCUGAGUGACAUCAAAUAUUCAAGCUUUUAAGCGAUAAUAGAUCAACAAAAACAAUAUUUUAUCAAAAACUAAACCAGUCCUACAUACCACAUCAAUUGGAACGAAAACAGCUUGAGAAAAAAGUGAUGCAGUCAUGCCAGCUAACCCAUUUGCCAAAGCAGCCUGUGUAGGUUCAGAAAAUUUAAAUGGCUCAACCAGUUUAUAGGCUCCCACUUUGGUAGUCUCUAAAGCAGUAAGAAAGAUGAUCCUUGCAGGAAUUGCACCAGUGAUUACUGUGCCAAACCCUCUAUAAAGACCAGGAACCCCAUCAUUCUUCAGUAAGCCUUUGAUAACAGACAGGGCAUUUCUCUCGGCAGAAUCCUUUACAGCGACCUGCAUCCUUGUUUUCACAACAGAAACAGGGUACAGUGCAACAGUAAUCCCAGUGAAGAGGCCAGCUCCUACGCCAUAAAAUUUUGCUUUAUCAAGCCUGCAGGAACAGGAUUAAUAAAUAAAGUAUCAUACUAGAUAUUGCAACUUCUUAGUUUCAACAUGCUCAGAAACUAACUAGCACAAAUGCAGGUACAAGAUGCAGAGUUUGAUGUAUUUCGCACUCAAUAUUUAUUAUUGUUUUUAUACAUGUGUCCUCAUAGUAUACUUGUUCAAGUGUUUGAUGCAUGUCGAACAAAUGUUUGUCCUACUUUGACUGUGUACAGCUAGUGUCAAACACAUCUAAUGCAAUUUUGCACUAAAAAGUAUCUAAGACAUGUCCAACAAGUGUUUAAGUAACCAAGUGUCCAACACUGGAUAUGCUAGCCAAACUAAAGUGUCCAUGCUUCUUAGCUCAUAGUAACCUACUUAUUUCCAAAAAUUACAAUUAUGUGUGCCAAUGCAUAAACACAACAAAUAUCCAGCCAAUUUCAUGGAGCAUUUAGGUCAAAGAAAUAUGUAAAUUAUAAUGCGGUAAAUGUUGAGAAAAAGAAUGGCACAAACAUUGCAACUAGAAUAUUGCAAAUCUCAAGUUUCAAGAACAACAAGUCAGUGUAUUACUUUCAAAAGCAAACGAUUUAAAGUUUCAAAAGCAUGAGCACCAUCAGAGGCUAAAAAUAGCAUCUAGUAGACUAGCAAUGACUACCAAGAAUACGGCUGGAACCUACUAUUGGGUAAUUGUCAGAAAUAGCACACAAAGGAUGUUCACGAGGCCAAAUGAGUCUUUCUGAUGGAGGAGGGUCGAAACCUUGGAAUAACUAAAACCAAUUAGAUUACCCCAAUUUUCAUCAUAAUCUUUGAAGAGGAAGCUGCUGGGUGGGGGCUGUCUCCUACUCUCCUUUGUCUAAUGCUGAAGAAUUUGUUACAGUUUCGCUUACUCACUUGCAAGGGCAGCCAUUUUUUGGGUUUUCGAUCACCCUUCCCGCUCCACUUUGGAGGAAGAGAAUAGUGUCUUUCAGGCUUCCAACUACUGCAUUAAUGAAGUUUGUUUCAAGCAAACUAAAAUAACAUUUUUAAUCAUCCUCCAGAGAAAAAUGAAAUCAAUUUCAUAACUUCCCAUUGGUUUAGUGGAAACCACCAGGAAUUACUUGGAAAAUGUUGUGACCUAUGUUCUUAUGAAACAUUCAUCUAAUGACUACUAGGUCUAACUCUCCACCAAAAAAGUGUGAACACCGAAAAAGAAAACAAGGAAAAAAAAGAAAGCAUCACACUCACACUCAUUCAAGUUUUUCUGUUCUUUCCCACUCUUCGUCUUGGUCAUAAGAAGUUUUUGGCACCCAGAGGACCGAUUAAAAAAAUAGGCCAAAUAGAGAGUUAUUUGUAAAAGGUCAAAAAGAAUUUGUACUACUUCUAACAAUUUCCAACCUACUGGCAACAUUUCCACAAACCAAGGCAAAUCAUCAAACUACAAUGAGUAUGUUGAAGACAGAACCAUCCCAAAUUUCAACUUCCAAGUCCUAUUUUAAACCCCAGGUUGAUUCUUUAAGUAUGAGAAGACGUUUCAAAUUUAAUCCACUUGAUCACAUCUCAAGAUUUGAUUCCUCCAAACCCUGAUGAAGGAUCUUUCUCUUCUCUCUCCCACACAUACAUUAAAUUCCACACAGUUACAAACUUCCCUCUUUCCCUCGAUAUUUCUUAUCUUUAAUAUCAUCAAGAACCAAAAUAGAGCGCCUAAUAACUCCUCCAUCGACGCAUGCAUCAAAGUCAUUAAUAAGGAGAACAAACAAACAAAUCCAGAAUGGUCAAUUAAUACUAAAGCGAGUCAGCAAUCAUUAUCAUUCAACGCAAUAGCUGAGUCAAGUUACCAAAAUCAAAGAACAGAUAUGAUAUGCAAACACAAAACAUAAAUGAAAUGAAACGAAUCAAAGCAAAUGGAUAAUUUCCCAAAAAAGCAGAGGAGACGAAAGGGAAGGUUGAAAUUACUUGUCCCAGUUGAUCUCAGUUUGACCAAACGAUUGAAAUCGCGAACCAUUCGCAUUCAUGGCCUCCCUUAUGCGAAUCAACCAAACAAGAUGGGCAAAGAAAAUCAAGAACGCAUUGAUGAUUCCAAGAAGUCGGGAAACCAAUUAAUGUCGCCGAGAACGAUUGGAGUCGUUCCGACGAGGUAAAUCUCGAAGACCAACAAGAAGAAAAGCAAAAAAGGAUACGAAAAUGGACGUGGGUCGGCUAGUUCUUCAGAUAUCGACGAACAUUUCUUGGGUUUCUCUCAAAUUGAUUGCUUGGAGAGAAAACAAUGUUGUGGGAAAAGGGUGUUUUGGUUUUUCUUUCUCUUAACCGUAAAUUCUUCGCUGUUCUUCUUUGUUCGUCAAAGAGAGAGCGCCUGUCUCGCGUUGGCAGUGAAGAAAGGCGGCCUUUGAUAUAAAAAACGGCCUUUGGCUACAGAUGGCUACUCCCUAAUCACGCGGCGCCUUGUCUUUCUGUUCACCUUGGGUUCUUAAUUCGUCUCACAUAUAAUAUAUUCGUUAGUUCUUUCUUCUUCUACAAACAUAUAAGGGUGGAAAUUCUGAUUCCUAACCUAAGCACAUUUUGAAUAGCACAAAAGUAUAUGUCUAUUCAAAAAGAGAGAGGUUGAAAUUGAAACAUACCCAAACUCUUCUUCAGGUUUGCCUUGCCUAUACUAAGAUCCAAUGCAAAAUUGGGAGAGGGCAACGCAAAUGUGCCACCUAUAAUGAAACAAAAAAUAGUCUUACGUUGUAGAUUGACUACUCGAGCAAACAAAUAUAUCCAUUAGGGAAGAAUUGAGUUUUGCUCGAAGUGAUACCGUGUAGCCAUGAACAUCGUAUUAACGACUAUCAAAUAAGGUGUCAUUGACAAUGUUUCGAGUCGUAAUAGGAGAACACUGUAAAUAGUCUCAUUUGCAUUGAAAUGUGGUAGGCUCAACAACACACCGGUGGGAAAAUUGUUUAUGGAGGUCGACUUGAAAAAUGCAAGACCAAACAAGGAGAAGUCAAGCUCUAGCUCACACAACGAAGAAAAUAUACAAAAUUUUGGAGUUAUUGAUCAAAUGGUUUGUAUGCUCCAAAAUUUAUGGAAACCCAUAUUCCUUAAAGGAAUGAGAGAAUCUUGGAGAAGAAAAAUGUGACAAUGGUUGUUGAUUGUUGCACAAAGGUACAUAACGAAAAUAAAACUUUGAGGCAGUGUGCCCAACUUUAGUGUAAAUAUGACGAUGUGGUUUAUUUCUAUUGUUCAAAUUUUGAUCGUAUCACCCACCUCAAUUUACUCUCCUCAAUUAUUCUCCUAUGCAAGAAGGGCAUUGGAAGAGCAAUAUGCUUUCUCUUUUCUACUUUCUCCUUUUUUUUUCUCAAGAUGGUUUGUUUUGCUACCGUAGUUCCCUUCAUAUAACUUUUUAGGUUGUUGGGUUGCGUAGUUUGUUCACAUAUACAUACAAACACACAUAAAAUAAUGAGUCAAAUACAUGAAUGAAUAUAAUACGUUUGGUUGAAUUAGUAUAACCAAAACACAUCAAAUAAACCUCCCUAAAAAGUAUGAAUUCUAAAAUAUGAAAACAAAAUUAUAUUCUACACGAAUCCAAACUAGUGGAAGUCUUAACUAAAACGAGAGAGAAACAAAUAUAUAUAAAAAAAUCUGAAUAUUUUAUUGAUAGGAAGAAGUCACACACUUUCAAAAAAAAAAAAA